rnacentral:rRNA from 1 species
GACGAACGCUGGCGGCGUGCUUAACACAUGCAAGUCGAGCGGUAAGGCCUCUUCGGGGGUACACGAGCGGCGAACGGGUGAGUAACACGUGGGUGACCUGCCCUCAGCUCUGGGAUAAGCCUGGGAAACUGGGUCUAAUACCUGAUAUGACCACAUGUUGCAUGGUGUGUGGUGGAAAGUUUUUUCGGCUGGGGAUGGGCCCGCGGCCUAUCAGCUUGUUGGUGGGGUGGUGGCCUACCAAGGCGACGACGGGUAGCCGGCCUGAGAGGGCGACCGGCCACACUGGGACUGAGACGCGGCACAGACUCCUACGGGAGGCAGAAGUGGGGAAUAUUGCGCAAUGGGCGGAAGCCUGACGCAGCGACGCCGCGUGGGGGAUGACGGCCUGCGGGUUGUAAACCUCUUUCGACCGGGACGAAGCGUAAGUGACGGUACCGGUAGAAGAAGCACCGGCCAACUACGUG